rnacentral:lncRNA from 1 species
GUACAAGCUCUCGCCUGCCGCCAUGUAAACGUUCUUUGCUCCUGCUUCGUCUUCUGCCGUGAUUGUGAGGCCUCCCCAGCCAUGUGGAACUACUCAUCACUCACUGCAGAUGUUACUUUAAGACAUUCUGGAGCAGCGUCAUGUGCAGGUGCGUAGUGCCUCCGCCCAUCUCUCUCUUGCUCCUGGUCUCAUCGUGACGGGCCUGGUCCUGCCUCACUUUAUGCCACGACUAAGAGCUCCCUGAGGCCUCUCCAGAAGCAGAUAUCACUAUGCUUCCUACACAGCCUGCAGAACCGAACAAUAAGGAAGUGAGUGCUUUUGUAAUUCCUGAACAACUGUGUCUUACACUUACUAAGGGAUUCAUGGGCAAUAUGACUGAAUAGGAACAGCUCCAGUCUGAAGCUCCCAGUGAGACCAACAUAGAAGUUCUCUUGCCUGCCACCAUGUAAGAUAUGCUUUUACUCUUCCGCCUUCCACCGUGACUGUGAGGCCUCCCCAGCCAUGUGAAACUGCCUUUGAGCUUAUACUGAAUUAUACCACCAGCUUUCCUAGGUCUUGAAGCUUACAGACAGCAGAUCUUGGGACUUCUCAGGCACCAUAAUCAAUCAUAGAUAAAUGAUCCAAUGAUUCGGAACUUGAAAAGUGGUAGCUUUAUGAAUUCUCCUUAAGAAGAAACCUGUGCCCUGAUCUUGCCUACUCACCCAAAGGCACUGUGAGAUAGCAUCAAAGGAACAGCUAGUAAGAGACACAGAGCCAGAAAUCAGGGAAGUAAAAUACACUUGACAUCUACGUUCGGAAAGAAAUUUUAGGAGGCAGAAGCAAAUGGAUCAGAAGCUGCUUAUAUUUUUGCAAGAUUACCAAAGAAACCAUUGGUGGAGAAAGUUCUGUGACCAACUUGUCUGAGUCUAGUAAGAUUGAACGCUCACACACAAGUUUCAUGAAGUGGGUUUGAUACUUACAGAUAAGCAGCAAGGACCAACAGAAGCUGAUGAUCUAUGGUGAACUUUUUCCCAAGGCUCCGGAAAGCUGCCUAAAGUAGAUGGAGUCUUCUCUGUGUGUGCCCCACUGGUCCUGCAGUUGAAGGAUCCGGUAAAGCAGCCUGCCCUUGGUUUUAUACUCCAGAGGAACGUGAUUCGCUGGACUAAAGCAUUGAAGUGCAUCCUGUUUCCGGGGGGCACUGGAACAGAGCCUGGUCUGUUCUAGCCAGUCCCUUUCUAUCUCAGGAUAACAUUCUACAGUUAUUCUUGAGAACUAUAAUCAAAUAAGCAGGGAGAACUGGGUAAGUCCAAGGCUUAUCUAUACAAGCCUUUAAAUAUUCAAGACCAAAAAAAAAAAAAAAAAAAAAAAAAAAA